AUUUUGUUUUUUUUUUGUUUUAUUAACUUAAAUAUUUGGGUUAGUACAUUUGCUACAUUUGGGUUAAUUAAGAUUUAAUUGUUUUAAAAUAUUCAGUUUUUAGUAAGAUCUUGUUAGAUUCUUUCUCAACAGAUUUUUUUUAUAAUUAAAAAAAUUAAAUUUAAAUUUAUAGUCAAAAUUUAUUUUAUUAAUAUUUUUAUUGAUUAUUAAGUUUAAUAAAAAUAAUAUAUAUUUGAUUGAUUAAUAUAAAUAAUCAAAUAUGUUGUAUUAAAUGAUUAAUGAAAUGGUCCUCUUAAGAGGUUUUUACAUAGAUUUUUUGUACUUCUAUUUUAGCAGAUAAUAUAAUAAUAGUAGCCUUAUUGAUUAUUUUUUUUAUAAAUAAUAUAUAUCUG
rnacentral:lncRNA from 1 species